AACCUCUUGAGCCCUUCAUGGGCUAGCACACCAACACCAUCCCCCCAGAUGCUUCAGUUGUUGGCUUCGAAUGGCUUACUAUUUCCAUUUCUACGGAGAACUGCCAUCUCAGGAAUCACCUCACCCUGGAGUUUAUUCCCCUCACCCACAGGGUGGCUGGCAGCCAACAGCUGACUCGUACAGAGAGUGGCACAAUGAAGAUUUGAACCCACGUAUGUCUCACUGGACGUAUGCCCAGGAACUGAUUGGGAAAGUGAGGCCCAGGGGUGCAAACCAGUCCAAUAUUAGCGGCAGAGCUCUUCCCUAGACCCGUCUUGAAGCUGCUGCCCCAUCAUUUCCUCCAGGUAGCUGGUGGAUACUGUUUAUCUGGUGCUCACUAUGCCCUAGGUAACACUUGCCUGUGUGUUGAGCACUUCCAGACAAACACGCCUGCCAUGAUGGACCACAUUUCUGUGCAGAUGCUGAGUACACACCGUCUCCCACUCCCACGGCUGCUUUGCAAGGACAGUGUUAAUGAUCCUCACUUUGUAAACAAGGAAAACUGAAGCUCAGAAAGGAGGGAUGGAGGGCGGUAAGGUUGGGCAUCCUACACAUAUGGUGAUAUCAUUGAACAUUUUGUGUUGAAGAAUGAUGGAGUGUUGAACACAGA
ensembl:lncRNA LINC01620 long intergenic non-protein coding RNA 1620